rnacentral:rRNA from 1 species
AGGACGAACGCUGGCGGCGCGCCUAAAACAUGCAAGUCGAACGAGAAGCCCGGGCUUGCCCGGGUGGACAGUGGCGAACGGGUGAGUAACACGUGAGGAACCUGCCCCGAAGACCGGGACAACACCGGGAAACCGGUGCUAAUACCGGAUACCUUCACCGGAUCGCAUGGUCUGGUGAAGAAAUGGAUUCCGCUUCGGGAUGGCCUCGCGGCCUAUCAGCUUGUUGGUGAGGUAACGGCUCGCCAAGGCAACGACGGGUAGCUGGUCUGAGAGGAUGUCCAGCCACACUGUGACUGAGACACGGCCCAGACUCCUACUGGAGGCAGCAGUUAGGAAUCUUGCGCAAUGGACGAAAGUCUGACGCAGCGACGCCGCGUGCGGGAUGAAGGCCUUCGGGUUGUAAACCGCUUUCAGCAGGGACGAAAUGACGGUACCUGCAGAAGAAGCCCCGGCAACUACGCGCCAGCAGCCGCGGUAA